rnacentral:rRNA from 1 species
GGACAACCUAGUUGUUCGGCGCUUCUCGAUAAGAACUUGGGCUUUUAAAGGGCUUCGGCUCUUGUUGGCCCCGUUACUUUGAGCAAAUUGGAGUGCUCCAGCAGGCUAUCGCUUGAACAGCUCAGCAUGGAUACAGAUACGACUUGGUCCUUCUGUGUGACAUGGACCAAAGUAAUGAUUGAUAAGGACAUAUGGGGGGCGUCUGUACUCGCUGGAGAGAGGUGAAAUUCUAAGACCCAGCGAAGACAAACAAGUGCGAAAGCAUUCGCCCAAUGUGUUCCUGUUAAUCAAGGACGAAAGUUGGGGGAUCGAAGACGAUUAGAUACCGUCGUAGUCUCAACUAUAAACUAUGCCGACUGAGGAUCGGAGGUCGUACCAUUACAACUCCUUCGGCACUCCAAGAGAAAUCUAAGUCUCUGGGCCCUGGGGGGAGUAUGGUCGCAAGGCUGAAACUUAAAGGAAUUGACGGAAGGGCACCACCAGGAGUGGAGCCUGCGGCUUAAUUUGACUCAACGCGGGGAACCUCACCAGGCCCGGACAUAGUCAUGAUUGACAGAUUGAGAGUUCUUUCUCGAUUCUAUGGGUGGUGGUGCAUGGCCGUUCUUAGUCGGUGAGGUGACUUGUCUGGUUAAUUCCGAUAACGGACGAGACCUCGACCUACUAAUUAGCUGAUGCUUACUCGUAAGCUUUCAGCUUCUUAGAGGGACUUUGUG